CCUACGGGAGGCAGCAGUAAGGAAUAUUGGACAAUGGACGCAAGUCUGAUCCAGCCAUGCCGCGUGAAGGAUUAAGGCCCUCUGGGUUGUAAACUUCUUUUAUAGGGGACGAAAAAAGGGCUUUCUAGCUCGACUGACGGUACCCUAUGAAUAAGCACCGGCUAACUCCGUGCCAGCAGCCGCGGUAAUACGGAGGGUGCAAGCGUUAUCCGGAUUCACUGGGUUUAAAGGGUGCGUAGGCGGGCAGUUAAGUCAGUGGUGAAAUCUCUGGGCUCAACCCGGAAACUGCCAUUGAUACUAUCUGUCUUGAAUAUUGUGGAGGUGAGCGGAAUAUGUCAUGUAGCGGUGAAAUGCUUAGAUAUGACAUAGAACACCGAUUGCGUAGGCAGCUCGCUACACAUAUAUUGACGCUGAGGCACGAAAGCGUGGGGAUCAAACAGGAUUAGAUACCCUGGUAGUCCACGCCCUAAACUAUGAUUACUCGACAUAUGCGAUACACUGUAUGUGUCUGAGCGAAAGCAUUAAGUAAUCCACCUGGGAAGUACGACCGCAAGGUUGAAACUCAAAGGAAUUGACGG
rnacentral:rRNA from 1 species